rnacentral:rRNA from 1 species
UUGCUCUUCAACGAGGAAUCCCUAGUAAGCGUAAGUCAUCAACUUGCGCUGAUUACGUCCCUGCCCUUUGUACACACCGCCCGUCGCUACUACCGAUUGAAUGGCUCAGUGGGGCUUUCGGACUGGCCUAGAGAGGUGGGCAACUACCACUCAGGGCCGGAAAGUUAUCCAAACUCGGUCAUUUAGAGGAAGUAAAAGUCGUAACAAGGUCUCCGUUGGUGAACCAGCGGAGGGAUCAUUAAAAAACGGAGUAUUCGUACUCUUCAACCCUUUGUGAACAUACCAUUGUCUGUUGCUUCGGCGGGAGGCCCCUGGGAGGGGCCCCGGGGCCCGGUCCUGAGCCGGGCUCCCGCCGGAGGAGCGCAAAACCGAAACUAUUGUUGCAUCUCAGUGGAAAAUCCGAGUCAAAACAAAUAAAACAAGUUAAAACUUUCAACAACGGAUCUCUUGGUUCUGGCAUCGAUGAAGAACGCAGCGAAAUGCGAUAAGUAAUGUGAAUUGCAGAAUUCAGUGAAUCAUCGAAUCUUUGAACGCACAUUGCGCCCGCCAGCAUUCUGGCGGGCAUGCCUGUUCGAGCGUCAUUUCAACCCCUCAGGCCCUAGCGCCUGGCGUCGGGGGCUUCCCCUCACCGGGAACCCCUCAGAAACAGUGGCGGACCCGCCGCGGCUCCGAGCGCAGUAGUUAAAAUUUCUCGCUUCUGGAAUUAACCGCGGGGGAGUCUGAGCCGUUAAACACCGGUCUCCGGACCGAUUUACACAAGGUUGACCUCGGAUCAGGUAGGAAUACCCGCUGAACUUAAGCAUAUCAAUAAGCGGAGGA